GACGAACGCUGGCGGCGUGCUUAACACAUGCAAGUCGAACGGUAAGGCCCUUCGGGGUACACGAGUGGCGAACGGGUGAGUAACACGUGGGUGAUCUGCCCUGCACUUCGGGAUAAGCCUGGGAAACUGGGUCUAAUACCGGAUAGGACCACUGCCUGCAUGGGUGGUGGUGGAAAGCUUUUGCGGUGUGGGAUGGGCCCGCGGCCUAUCAGCUUGUUGGUGGGGUGAUGGCCUACCAAGGCGACGACGGGUAGCCGGCCUGAGAGGGUGACCGGCCACACAGGGCCGGAGACACUGCCCAGACUCCUACGGGAGGCAGCAGUGGGGAAUAUUGCACAAUGGGCGCAAGCCUGAUACAGCGACGCCGCGUGAGGGAUGACGGCCUUCGGGUUGUAAACCUCUUUCAGCACCGACGAAGCGCAAGUGACGAUAGGUGCAGAAGAAGGACCGGCCAACUACGUGCCAGCCGCCGCCGUAAGAC
rnacentral:rRNA from 1 species